AGGAAUGAGUGAGCAUGCAGAUUCACAGCAUCGUGGAGGAGAAUGUGAAAGAAGAGAAGAAAAGACAAGCGACUCAUGCAACACGUUCAGGAAGAGAUUCAACGAGGGACGGGGGGGAAGGUUUAUCCUGCUGCACACGUGUGAGGAAGAUGAAAGAGCCACCAGGGGGCAGACUGCAGCAGCUUGUCUCAGCUCGGAUGAAACAACACGAGACGAGUCGAGUCCAAACACGUCGACAUUUUCAAGUCUUCACUCAUUCAGAAGAACUUCAGCCAAGAGGAACUAGAAAGGAUAUGCUGAGUGACAUGAUGAUGUCACAUGGAAGAUGACCUGUGACCUUCAGGUCACGACCCCCGAGCCCCUGCGGGUGGACCCCGUGCGUCUCGCUCUCGGCUCACCGUGUUCCCCAGCCGGUUCCUCCAGGACUUCCACAGCAGCCCGUCCCGGCUGUAGUUGAGGCGGUACGCCCGCGCGUACUCGUUCCCGGAGCUUCGGGCGUACCGACCCUGCGUGCCGACCACGGUCAGGAAGGUCAGCCGGCCCAGGUCCACCUGAGGUCACAAGGUCACCAGGAAGCUGCAGAGGUCAAAGGAUGCAUGUCGAGAGUUACACAGCUGAGAGGAGUGAGUCGAACACAGUGAAGGAGAAACAUCCUCAGACGAAGACAGAAACCAGGUGUCGUCUCUUCGUCUCUUCGUACGAACUUUAUCUGAUUCUGAUUGGCUGAACUCUGUCUGACACCAACAGGAAGAGGAGGGUCCGUUAGAUCAAGGAGAUCUGAUCAGUUCAGGAUCAGAUCAGGAGGAUCUUUUAUUGGAAGCGUGUGAAGCUCCUGAAGACGCUCGGAGAUCAUCUUGUUGACUUCCUGGAUCCUCCUCCUCAUCAUUAUCAUCAUCCUACUCAUCGUCCUCAUCAUCAUCCUCCUCAUUAUCGUCCUCCUCCUCAUCAUCCUCCUCCUCCUCAUCAUCAUCAUCCUCCUGAUCAUUA